CCAGGAGCUCUGAGAACCCCUGUUCCAGUCAGGACCUCGUACCCUACCUCUGAAGUGGAUUCUUCCAGCUGUCCUGUUAUGGUUUCAAUCAAGAAUGUUUCCCAUAGGCUAGUGAUUUGUUUGUUUGCUUUUUUUUUUUUUUGUUUGUUUUUUGGUUUUUCGAGACAGGGUUUCUCUGUGUAGCUUUGGAGCCUAUCCUGGCACUUGCUCUGGAGAGCAGGCUGGCCUCAAACUCACAGAGAUCCACCUGCCUCUGACUCCCAAGUGCUGGGAUUAAAGGCCUGCGCCACCAACGCCCGGGGAAAGUGUACUUUCUACAAGCAAGGAGUUAUUGAGUGCGGAUAAUGUGAUGUCCACACUCAUACCAGGCGAAUGGAUGACUCAGCUGAAGACUUCCAGGUGCCCAGCACGCUCCUGUGAGUGUGUCAACACAUUCUUCUCGCUCAUUCGGAUGGAUUCUAUCUGCCAGUAAUGUUCGUGACUCUUCUUCCUCAGAAAAUGUCCAUCUCUCCAGAAAGACAUGCAGAAACAAUUAGGGGGAUAUUUAUACACAGUGGAUUUGCUCAUCCACUCCCCUCAUGUAUCUUCUGAAGGGAACAAGAAGCAGAAAGGGGACCUCAGGGGGUUCCGACCUAAAGGCAACACACUUCUAUGAAAGUUUUGAGAGGAUCUUCAGGGAGCAGUGCCUUUCUGAGAAGGUGAAUCACUUCAAGGCCUGUCUAAGGAAAUUCCACUCUCAGAAUGGCAACAAGUAGGCAAUAAGGUUAAUGAAAGAAAGGUGUGAUAGGUAAAAGCUCCUGCUUGCCGCAAAGCCUGAUGAUCUGAG
rnacentral:lncRNA from 1 species